AUACUUAAAUAUAUUCAUUCUUUUUAAAUUUAGUAUCUAAAAGAAUAUAAAAAAUAUAUAAGAAGUUUUUAAGUUGUCCAAAAUACUUGGAAAUAUAAGCAAAUAGUUAUAGGUACAUGUUUAAAAUAGUUAAACGAUACUUAUAAUACCUAAAGUACUUAAAAUAUCUAUUGAUUUUCUAUCCAAAUAUUUAAGCUAAACCAACUUUUAUGUUAAUUUUGAGUAUUUUAGCAUACAUUAUUCAAAUUUAUAUGUUAUAUAUUAUUUUUAUUUUUAGAUUUUGAAAAUUUUAAAGUAUAUAUGAACUUUAAUUUUUGAAAAAAAUUUAAAUAAGUUAUCCGAAUCUGAACCAAACCCACAAAAAUAUGAAUUGAACCAAACUCUUAAGGAUCCGAAU
rnacentral:lncRNA from 1 species